GGACGGUUAGCUCAACUGGCUAGAGCACCUGAUUGACGUUCAGGAGGUUGAGGGUUCAAGUCCCCCACCGUCCACCA
rnacentral:tRNA from 1 species